rnacentral:rRNA from 1 species
GAUGAACGCUGGCGGCGUGCCUAAUACAUGCAAGUCGAGCGAACGGACGAGAAGCUUGCUUCUCUGAUGUUAGCGGCGGACGGGUGAGUAACACGUGGAUAACCUACCUAUAAGACUGGGAUAACUUCGGGAAACCGGAGCUAAUACCGGAUGAUAUUUUGAACCGCAUGGUUCAAAAGUGAAAGACGGUCUUGCUGUCACUUAUAGAUGGAUCCGCGCUGCAUUAGCUAGUUGGUAAGGUAAUGGCUUACCAAGGCAACGAUGCAUAGCUGACCUGAGAGGGUGAUCGGCCACACUGGAACUGAGACACGGUCCAGACUCCUACGGGAGGCAGCAGUAGGGAAUCUUCCGCAAUGGGCGAAAGCCUGACGGAGCAACGCCGCGUGAGUGAUGAAGGUCUUCGGAUCGUAAAACUCUGUUAUUAGGGAAGAACAUAUGUGUAAGUAACUGUGCACAUCUUGACGGUACCUAAUCAGAAAGCCACGGCUAACUACGUG